CAUCUAAUUUCCCACAGUGCUCACAAAACAACCACUUGAAAAGAGCUGAAGUAAUGCCUAUGGCUUCACUGAUGAAGACCACACUCCCCAGCCUCCUUAUAACCAACCUGUCUGUUCAAAUCCAUUCUCUUCAAGAAAAUGAGAACAAUAUUUAUGUGUGCAGCUUCCAGCCCAUCAUCCAGUUCCCUGUCUUCUGAAAGGUGUACCCUGAUUUUGCUCUGUGGAAUCAUCCUUGUCCUGUCUUUCAGCCCAUGUCCUUCUGCUCUUUCUCUUCAAACUUCCUUAACAUACCUUGGCUUAGUUGUUCUGCUGAUUUUCUAAAAGAAGAAGCUCCUUUGAAUAACAUGGAGGAGA